AGUCGCUAACUGAUCUCUACCUAUUUUAAUGUUGAUCUAAUUGAUUUUCAAUCGUUCAAGUAAUUGAUCCAAAUGAUCUUUGUAAACAAUAACUUAAAUCAAUAUAAAAAAUUAUUUAAACUAAUUAUUUAAUUAUUUAGAUAAGAGAUUGAUUAAAAAAUUUUAAAUUUGAAAAAAUUAUUUAUCGUUCAAGCAAAUAUUUAAAGAACAAAAAGAAUAUUUACUCAAUAAAAAAUAAAUAAGUUUUGAAAACAAAAUAGACGAUUAAUAUAUUGAAGUAAGGCUAAUUCUAUAUACUUAUUAUUUAAUGUUUAAAUUUUGUCUACUUUAUUUUUUAUAAUAAAUUUUAAAUAUUUAAAAUUUACUAAAAAAAUUAGACAACAAAUAUUAGAUGCCAUAGAAUUGGCCUUAUAAUUAAUAUGUGACAUUAGAGUGGCGGCAGAUGCUAGACUCAAAAAUAAUAAUCUGUGCCAAAACAAACUAGUAGGAAGUAGCUUAUAUUAUGAGCUAUUAUGUAUGCUUGUUUCGUUAAUAAUAAAUAUCAUCACUGUAUGAAUGUGGUGAUAGGUAAGGUUAUAUGAGCACCUUCGGUGUGCUCUUAUGGCUUUACCUAUGUUUUGCUACUGCAAAGUUUUAACCACCAUGAAAUAAAAGAUCUUCAAGUAUAUUAUGUUUUAAUUUCUUUGACAUUAAUGAAAAUCAAACUCUUCUAAUUUUUUUUAAAUAAAUUUUUUGAUACUAUGACAUUUAAACAGAACAAAAAUAUUUAGUAAACAAAAAAUAUUAAUAAAAAAUGAUUAAAAAUUAUUAUUUUUAGUUUUAUUUAAUACAUUUUAUAAUAAAUAAAUAUUAAAUAAGACAUAUUUAAAUUAUUUAGGUAGAUUAUUUUUUGUUUUCUAAUAUUACCAUAAACAGAACUGCGUAUAUAAAUAGUUAUACGGUUAAUUUAUAUUUGUAAUAAAGCUGAUCCGGACAAUGAUACCAUUAAAAGAAAAUGUAGUUAGCUUAUUAAGCAGAGAUUAGACGGACAAUGAUAUCAUUAAAAGAAAAUAUAGUUAGGUUAUUAAGCAGAGAUUAGACUGUUGUAGGCGAGGGACUGUAAUGGUAUUGAAAAUUGAUUUACUGUAAUAAGAGAAAUAAGAAUAUAAGAGAAAAAGAAAUAGAUAGAAAAGAGAAUGAUUAAGGAAGAAGAAGAGAUCAGAUGUCUAGAUAGACAUUUCAUAAUUUACACAUAUUCACUAUUAUUAUUACUANNNNNNNNNNNNNNNNNNNNNNNNNNNNNNNNNNNNNNNNNNNNNNNNNNNNNNNNNNNNNNNNNNNNNNNNNNNNNNNGAUUUUUGAAUUGUCUAAGAGUGGCUAUUCAUCAGUCAUCAAUGUUGGGUUUACUUUUUGAGAUAGGACCUAUCUCUUUGUAUUUGUGUUAGACAUGUGAGUAGUAGGUAACUUAAAAGAUACCUUACUAAAAUUCUAUUUGUUUAAAAAAAUACCUGACCCAUCAUGUGUUUAAAAUAAUUUUCUUUACAAGUUGGUCCAAAUUUUAACCAACAUUUGACAUAUGUAUAGUAAGGGUUUAAUUUCUAAAGAUGGGUUUUCACUUCCUCAUUAUUCUCCUUUAUGAAGAGAAAAGACAUCAAGUCAAAGGAUUCAUCAAUCACCUCUAAAUUUGUCUGUAUCAUUGUUAUUUAUAGGCUUUUGUCUUAGGUUUACACAUAUACACAGUGAAAAAUCACAUAUUAUAUAGAAUAAACACCAAAACAACAAAAAAAAAAAAUCACAAAACAUAAUUUUUAAUUUUUCUGUAUCUCUAUAUAUUUUCAAUAUAGAUGAGAAUAAAUACUUAUGUUUUGUCUUAUCUUGUUGCUCGAUCCAUCAAAAUUCAAAAGACUAGAGUUAUUUACGAAUUAGAUUGGUUUGGAUUUAAGAAAAAAAAUCAAACUGAUUAAAUUUAAUUAGUUCGAGUUGGUUCGAAUUUAAUUUUUUUUAAGUAAAUCCAAAUCAAUUUGGACAGAUUAGAUUUGAAUUGAAUUAGUUUAGAUGAUUAGGUAUCUGAUUGAAACUCGAUCCAUCAAAAGACUAGAGUUAUUUACGAAUUAGAUUGGUUUGGAUUUAAGAAAAAAAAUCAAACUGAUUAAAUUUAAUUAGUUCGAGGUUCGAGUUGUUUAAUUUUUUUUAAGUAAAUCCAAAUCAAUUUGGACAGAUUAGAUUUGAAUUGAAUUAGUUUAGAUGAUUAGGUAUCUGAUUGAAACAAAAGAUGAGGAGGAGGAAGAUGAAGAGUUUUGAAUUAUGCAGAACUUAUCAGAAUAAAGAUGCAUUGAAAUUUAUUAACAAAAAUACAUAAAUUUCUUAGUUUUUAUACCGAAACUUUGCUACAAAAGCACAAAAAUAUCUUCUUUAAUGUUGUAUUUUUUUCUUCUUUUUUUCUUAUUUCUUUCUUUCUUUUAGUUGAAUGAAUGUAGGUUUAUCCCCUUCCUAGUAAUUUUGCAGCAUUAUGUGUUUCUUCUUCUUUGUUUGAUAUUUUUUUUUGUUUUUAUUUUUGUUAAAAGAGUAAAACAAGAAGAAAUUUGAGAAGGUAAAACAAGAAAGAAAAGAUUAAUAAAAAAAAGACGAUGAUGAAAAUGAAGAAGAAGCAGCAGAAGAUGAGGAGGAAGAAGAGAAAGAGUUGUGAAUUAUACAGAACUUAUCAGAAGAAAAAUACACUGAAAUUUCUUAACAAAUACACAUAAAUUUCUUAGUUUUUAUACCGACACUUUGCUACAAAAGCACAAAAAUGUGCAACAUCUCAUUAGUAAAUUAAUGUGCAGGAAUAAUCGGAUAAAUUGUGUGCUUUUUGGUCGGGUUAUAGAUAAUAUUAUGCCUCACCUUGAAGAAGAAAGGGUUGGACCCCUCAUCGUUGUGCUGAGUUUUGAAUUAUGCAGAACUUAUCAGAAUAAAAAUAACACCAAAAUUUCUUAACAAAUACGCAUAAAUUUCUUAAUUUUUACACCGAAAUUACUUAAUAUGAUUGCAAUAUGCAAACUCAGUUUAAAAACAAGAAUACAAACAAGACUGAAUCAUGAACAAAAACAUAUCCAAAUUAAUUUUGGAUCAGGCAACGUCAUUAAUAUGACAAAAAUUCAACAAUAAUGAUAAUAAUAACGAUAAAAAAAGAUGACGAUAAUAAUAAUAAUAAUGAUAAUGAUGAUAAUGAUGAUGAAGAUAAACGAUUAUAACAACUUGGUUAAGUAUUUUGUUUAGAUAUAAAAUUUUAUUCUUUUGGAUGUAUAAUCAAAUUAUCCGUACCAUAAACACCUGUACAAAAAACCGCUAGCGCUGCAUCAUAUGUUAAUUGAUAUAUUAAAUUUACUAUAUUCUAUCUUUUUCUGUACGUGCAUAUUGUAACACCCUACCACACUUAAUCUUAUGCUUAAGUCAUAAGACUGAGAUAAUAGGUAUUACGAUCUCUAAAAUUAAAAAUAUACAUAUAAUAAUAGUGAAAGAAAUAUUUAACUAGGAGCCUUGAAAAAUGGAUAAAACAAAAUCGCAAAAAUAAAAGCGCAACGCUCAGGAAAUGAGAUAACUUGCGUGCUAAGAAAUCUAAAGAUAAUAAGUAUAAAUAGACAGAAAAUGAGAAUAGAGAGUCAAGGAUACAAAAUAACUAACUCCUAACUCAGCCUGCGAAGUCAAGGCUGACCGGAGAAUAUUUACAUACAUAUAUACAUAUCCCAAAAACCCCUGAUACAUAGGUAAAGUCCUAGCUCUCCUUUAACCUCUAAGAGGAACAAAAUAAACAAGUUUCUUGGAGAUAAAGCUAAGUACAUAUAUACAUAAGAUACAUAACAAAAGAACCCAGAAACUGCUCCGCUUCAGGAGUCCAGACGCCUAGCGAGGUGCCUCUCGACCUGCAUCUGAAAAAUAACAAUACAAUAUGGGGUGAGAACCGGAGGUUCUCAACAUGGUAAAUGUAACAUCUAGCAUUUUUUGAAAAUCUAAAUAUAAAUGAAUUGUGAUAUUAUCUUAUCAAGUUUAAAAUUUAUAAUUUUAGAAAUUAUUUUGUUAGAAAUAAUUAAAUAGAUUGGAGAUAAUUUUAUUUUGAAUUAAUUAAUAUUCUUAAGUGAUAUUGAUUGAUUAUGUGGAUUGUGAAUUGUUUGAUGACCAAUUGUUGAGAAUUUCUAAAUUUUGAUGAUUAUAUUGGAUUGUUGUCGUUGAGCUGGUUAUUGAUGUAUUGUGAUGGCGAUGAAUUUAGUUGGUAGUUGAUUUGGAAUUAAUUUUGAGAAGUAUUAAAGGGAUUGAAUUUUGAAAUACUAAACUACUUGUUGAAAAUAUGAAGUUUUGAAAUGAAGCGGCAACUUUGAAAGUGAACCGGCAUCUUAAUAGUGAUUGGAAUGAUAUGAGACUAAAAGCUAAGCGAACUACAAUAAGUAUAGUUAUUAAUAUUCAAUUUUAAAGGUUUCGUAUUAACUAGAGAAUUAGUUAUGAUAUUUCAAAGUUGAAUUAUGAAAUUUGAUUUUCUACAUUACUUUUAAACGAAGUCAGAAACUUUGAAAAGCUAUAACUAAUUUUGUGAUGAUCGGAAUUGCAUGGGACCAAGUCUGGAUUAAACUUAGGAAUAUAGGGAAUUGGACUGAAAAAUUUGAGGCAUUUUUGUUAAAUGUACAAUUUAUGGUGAAUUUUUAGAUUUAAGUUGAUAAAUCUGUCCUGCAGCAGAGAAGUUCAAAUAGGGCAGCAACUUGUUUGUCUUGCUGCGACUCCUACGAGUUGAGUUUUGGAGCAAAACUAAUAUUGUUUUAAAAUUUGUUUAACUUGGUUUAUUUCUCUAAAAUUUCAAAAUUUUAGGAGUUAAGAAUUGGGAGUUGUGAAUUUUUGAAAACUGGUGAUCAAAGCCGGAAAGAAUCAGUUUUCAGCAAGUUAUGCAUCAACUUCUAAUGCUUGUUGAUGAUAAUCAGUGGCUAAGAGAAGGGGGUUGAAUCUUAGCCCUCUUUUUCUGAAUGUUACUUUCUGCUUUUUAGAAUAGCUCCAGGAGAUAUUCUGCUUUUUGUCUCAUAACUGGUCAAGAGAUAUUUUCUUUUUGGCUCGUAACCGGUUAGGAGAUAUUUUUCAAUUUUAUCUCCCACGAACAGAAACAGUAAAUGAGUAGAAGAGAAAGAGAGAAUCACACCCAAAAGUAUCCUGGUUCAGCUACUAAGUGCAAUGCAGCCUACAUCCAGUCUCCAUCACAAUAGUGACAGAAUUUCACUAUAAUCAACUUGAUUACAGACACUAAUUCUUCCCUAGGAACUACCCAUUCCUAUCCGGGACAAGUCCAGAAUCUAUCCCUAAAACUGAACUUGACUUGGUCACCUACCAAGCUUUCGACUGAAAAGUGCUAACCCAACUUGCAAGGGAACAAGUCAAGAUUCUACCCCAACCCAAACUUGACUAGACCUCAAUCUAGCUUUCAACCGCAAAGUGCUAACCCAACUUGUAAGGGAAUCUCCUCAGGAUCAUGACAACAAAACAGAAAUACAUACAAAGAAUUUUUGAUAUAAUAAUGAUUUUUUCUUUAACUCUGCCUUUUUUUCACUCAUUGGCUUUUUCUUACAAAAUCUCACAUUUUGCCUUUUACCAAUGAAACACAGACAGACUCACUGAGGAAAAGAAAUAUUCAAUGAAAGCCAUGAAGGAGAAGAAUAAAUAGUUCAAAGAGCUAUGGGAACCCGAACGUAUGCUCUCACUCCUUGUCUCAAGCCUUGGCUGCUCACCCUUAUUAUAGAAGGGGAAGCCUCCAAGGUUGAAACGGUUCAAUCGAGCUAACUUCUUCUUCUUCAACACCAAAACCGGUUCGAACAGAGAGAAGAGAGAGGGAACCGAAAGCUAAAACCAACAUGCAAUUACCUCUCUCUCAUCCCUUUUCUUCAAGCUUCAUCAAUCUGAGCCUUCCAUCUUGACUUGGUCCCCAAGAAGGAUUUCUGACCCUUGAUGAACUCUUGAUCCUUGACAGCUCCAUCUGCUCCACUUUUGCUUCCUCCUCCACAUAGCUAUAGUAGCCACCUUCUGUGAUGGAUGAACAAAAAGUAGAAAUGAGCCAUACCACAGGGAUCUUCUUCUCUGACCGAAAUGGAUUGCUACCACUUUUGGCAUGGAGAUCUUGAAACUUCUUCACCACAUCUUGCCAUUAGUAGAAAAGAUCUCAGCCACGCCAUGCUUUGGAUCUUCCUUUUUUGCAAAGGCCAUUAUCCUAGCCUUUUGCUUCUUCCAGCUUCUCUGUAAUUUCUCUGAUAACUUCUUCUUCUUCUUUCUUCCAUCUUCUUUUUUGAUGGAUGUGACAAAUAAAACAAGAGAGAGAAGAGAGAGUAGAAACAAAGCAUUGAUUGUUAGAUUAAAUGAAAUUGAAAUCCUACUAACAAUCCCAAUGCAUAAAGUAACGUGUGGAGCAAUUAAUGCCAUCAAAUCAAUUUUAAUUUUUUCUCUCCUAUUACCAAUGCAUGCAAUAAAAUCAAGUUAAUAAAUUUUGAAUUCCAUAAGCCAUGGAGGAAUGUAACCGUGGAAAGCAUGCACUCAAUUUGAAUUUGGAUCUCACCAAAGUAAAUGGGUAAUAGAAACCUCAUGCUCCAUUUCCUUUUUCUUUUGAUUUUGGACCAAGUCUUGUUGGUCACCUAACAAAAAUUAAUUUGGGCUACUCACAUGAUACAUGGCCCAAAUUACCUUUGCAAAAUAAUUCAGCCAUACUCUUAGAAAUCUUUUUGCACAUUGGCUGAAUAUUUUUUCAUUAUUUUGGACUAUGUUGUUUUUAGCCCAAAUAAACAAAUCAAAGCAUGUGAGAGAGUGAACAUUUUUGUGAUCACCGUAUGGAGCCUUUGGUCACUUAAAGAGAUUGCAUUAAGAUCAUUGAAUGGCUUCUUCCAAGGCUUUGGGUCACUUGUUUCUGUCUUUAAUUUAUGAUGGGUUUUGAUGGAUUUGGGCCUCCUUGGAUUUCUUUCUUUCUUUAAACAAUCAGCUACUAACAUUUGAAUUAUUUUUGCUCAAAGCUAAAUUUGUUCAAAGAUCAAUUUGGGCUUGUGUAACUUUGACCCAAUAGAAAUUAAAUUGCUUGCUUGCACACUUGAACACAAAUCAUCAAACAACCUAUUGGAAAUUAUUAAAUAAAACACUUAAUAAUAAUUUUAAUAAUUUCUUAAUUUAUAUUUUAAUAAUGUUUGAUCAUCAUUUCAGUUUUUCAAACUUAACAAUCUCCCUCUUGAUGACAAACAUUAUUAAAUUGAAUUGAAAGAGUUAGGAUAGAUAACUUCCCUUUGAAGAUUUGCCAAAAUCUCCCCCUUUCUUUUGUUCAAUGUGCUCCCCCUUAAUGUGUGCUUGAUUAAUAAAAUAUUUAAGAAAGCCAUCACCUGUAUACAAGCUCUAAAGAGUUCCAAGAAGAUACAGAUUUCAAAACAUAGAACCUUUAAGAUCGAGCCAUUAUUUUCACAACAUGAUCCAGAUAGCACAUGUAUGUAUACUUAAGCAAAUAAAUUUUUCAAAAUAUAAUUAGAGCUCAAGUUGAAAUUCUCUAACACAGAGUGCUCAAAACAAUGAGCCAAAAUAGAGCACAAAUAUGAAACAAAAUGCUCAUGUCCAAACAGGACAGCAACGAAAUAGUUUCAAUUCAGCAAUUUAGCUCUUCUUUCAUUUUUCUUCCCCUUUUGUCAUUAAAGAGGGACAUAUCAUAUGUCAAAAGUUUGCAAGGAUCUUAUCAAUUUCCAAAAACCAUCAGCCAGCCUUGAAAGAAGCAUGAAUCAGAGCUAAACCAAGCAUUAAUUAAAUACUAUUUAUUCACAGGCUCAUAUGCUAAGCUAUAAACAAUAUUCACAACCAGAUGAAACUGCAGAUUUUUAAAUACAAAUUCAAAUAAUAAACAGCAGCUCAAACAUCAUCAUAGAUAAAAACAAACAGCAGCAACAAUAGCUUCAAACAUUAUUAUCAUAGAUAAAAACAAACAGCAGCCUUUUAAUUCAUUUUUCUUUCUCCUCCUGCAUGGAAAAAUAGUUCACCAUAUAUACAAAAAGUGUAGAGUAGGUAAAAAUGUAAAAUCCAAGUUACAGUCACCCAACAGAAUUCAACAGCUGAGAUCCAAAAAUAGAACCAAAAUUAUGAUAAACUAAUGUUUCAGAAAAAGUUUUUCAGAAGCAACAUCAUGGAGCAGUCUUAAAAAAAAAGAAAACUCAAAUACCAAAAUAAAAAAAAAAACUAUAAUAAGUAUAAGCAAUAUUCACAACCAGACCAAUAUGCAUAUUCAUAGCUGCGUGAAAUAAUAGUGAAAACCCAAGAAAAUUGCAACCAAUCUCAAGCAUCAUAAGUUCAACUGUUUCACUAUAGCUGUUUCAAUUUAUUUUCACACAAUACUUACUCCCCCUGUUGUUAUUGAGAAUAGUAAAUCUGCACACAAAAACAGUUCAAUAUGUAAUCCACAAGUGCAAAACAGGUAUGAGUGUAAGUGUCAACAGAAGUUGUAAAAUUUAUCAUAAAAAAAAAACUAUAAGAAAUUAGCUGCAUCAAAUCGGACUAGACAUCAGAUCCCUCAUCCUUGGUUGUAGGAGGAUCUUCCUCUUCUUUCAAAAUUGUGUCCUUGGCUGCCUUUGUGCCCUUUUUCUUAGAUUUCUUUACAGCACCACUACCUUUAAGAUUUAAAAUUUUGUCUUGGGUUUCAUUACUCAGAUCGACACCACAAUACUCAAAAAUACAAGUUAAAAACAUUCUAUAAGUAAGAAAAAUGGGAGUAGUGGAGAAGAUGAGAAGGUAUCAUAAUAAAUGCUUUAAAUGUUCAAAAAUCUUUUGAAAACCCAAACCAAUUCAAUAAAACGAGAUUUAAAGAAUUUUGAAUUUUAAAAACAAUACACGCAGUUUUGAAAUGACAAGUCAAAUAAAAGAUUGAAAAGAUUUUGAAACUAAUUUGACUUGAAAAAUGAUGAAUGUAAAUACUCUCAUUUUUGGUGUAUGUGAUCAAAACAAGUAAUGAGACCCACUACAUAAAAUAAAACAACUUUCUCUUGGACUUAGUAGUGGUUUUAAGGAAACACAUUUGACCACCAAAGAUUUAUUUCAGAUCCAAAUUCAUUUAAAAUUAUCAACACAUAGUCUGAACUUCAUGGAACCUAGAGGGAGUCAUCAUCUGCUCAGUUUUAUCUUCUUGUAGCCUGAGAGACAAAAACAACCAAAAAAAUCUUUAAGCACAUUUAAUUAAAAAAAACUCAACAAUGAACAGUCCCUAGAGUAGUUCUCAAUUUCACAAAUUGAAUGUCAAUUGUUCCCUUAAGCACAUGUUCUUUUAUGGAAUAGAAUCUUACUUUAAUGUGCUUAGUUCUUGAGUGUAAAACAUGAUUUUUUUUAAAAAGAUUUAUUGCACUCAAGUUGUCACAAAACAUAGGGAUACUAUUGACUUACAAUUUGUAAUGUGCAAGAUAUAUUUUAAACCAAGUCAAUUGAGAACAAGAGGAAGUUGAGAUAUAUAUUUAGCCUCAGCCGUUGACAGAGCAACAGUAGCUUGCUUCUUUCUUGUCCACAUAUGGAUUUUCCAAGACAACAAAAAAUUUCUGAAUUGCUGCUCCUGUUCACACGAUCUCAGCAAGAUCUUAAAUUGGACCAGUUCUUCCUCAUUUGCUUUUAUUCAAGAGGGAUCUUCAAUUAUUUUCUUUAUUUUGGGAGUUCCAUUUGUGAUGCAAGAGCGAAGUUAUUGAGUUUGCCUCUUUUUCUUCUUGAGAAUCUUGUGGUAACUCCAUGAGAGGGAUCUCCAAUGAUAAAUUCAUGUGGAUAGUUCUUCAAGAACUUCUAUUCUCUUGGCUUUUAUGAGGUGAUCUCAAGUUGAGUAUGAACAUGAUCAGUUCCAUUGAGAUUUUCAGAAAUCUCUAUGUCAGGAGGAGACAAAACAGAAUCGUCUCCUAGAUUCUGGUUUGCAGAAUUGUGAACAGCAUCUUCCAUUGAAGGUUCAGAUUUGUCUUUUCCUUGAAUUCUUCUAAAUUUUGUGCAAUCUUAGUUCCUGCAUCAAUUUUCUCAACAACACUUGAAAUAGAGUUAGAAUAAUAAGAAAAUGAUAUGUAUGAACUCCCCAAUUAUUCCAUGUUUAUUGAUGUAAACUCUAUAAGCUUUACUAGUAGUUGAAUAUCCAACAAAGAUACCUUCAUAAGAUUUUUGGAUUAAAUUUUUUAAAAAUAUCUUUAGUGUUUAACACAAAGUAUUUGCAUCCAAAAGUAUGAAAGUACUUAAGAUUGGAUGGUACUCCUUUUCAAAGCUCAUAUGGGUUUUCUUUAAAACUUUUCUAAUGAUGAUUUGGUUCAAAAUAUAGCUUCAAUCCAAAAGAAUUUUAGUAUUUCAUUUUCACCAAAACAUAGCCCUAGUCAUUUCUUGAAGGCCUCUAUUUCUCCUUUCAACAACUCUAUUUUAUUGAGGUAUGCUAGGACAUGAAAAAUUAUAUGAAAUACCAAAUUCAUCAAAGUGUUGUUUUCCAAACUCAUUUUCAUGAUCACUUCUUAAGAAAAUAGUUUUCAUUUUGAAUCUUUUUGCAUAGAGUUAAGACAGCAAGAAAAACAUCAUUCUUAUGAGCUAAGAAAAAGAAUUCAUCCAAACUUAGUAUAGUCAUCAAACACCACUAAGCUAUAGUGCUUACCAGCAAGACUUUGAAUCCUUGUAGGACCAAAAAGAUCAAUGUGUAGCAUUUUUAAAGUUCUUUUGGUUGAGAUGUCAUCCUUGGGUUUGAAAAAUUUUUUUUUGUUUAUUUACCCAAUUAACAAGCAUCACAAGUGGUGUCAUUGUCAAAUUUUAUUUUUAGGAAGAUAUCUAACCAAAUUCUUUUUCCCAAGCUUAGAAACUAGAAACAUGCUUGUAUGUUCUAUUUUCUUAUGCCAUAACUAUUUCUUAGAUUCUGUGGAAAUAAAACAAGCUACAUUUUAUUCUAUUAGUUCCUCUAAGGUUAGUCCAUACACAUUAUCGCAUCUUAUAACUUCAAACAAAAUUUCACCAAAUUUUUCACACACAACUAAGCAUUUCAAUUUCUUGAAAAUAGUCAAACAACAUAAAUCACACAAUUUUCUCAUGCCUAGAAGAUUGUGUUUCAACCAAUCAACUCAAAAUACAACAUCAAUGAAAGUUGAGAAAUUCUUACUAACCUUACCUACGGCCAAAUUUUUUCAUUUACCAUUGUCACCGAAAGUCACAAAGCUUCCAUCAAAUUCAUCAAAGAAAGUGGAUUUUUCGGUCAUGUGCCUAGAGCAUCUCCUAUUCAUGUAUCACAUGUCUUUCUUUUUCUUGGAUGCUAAGCAAAACUGCACAAAUCUUUUAAGUGACCUUAGGUAUCCAAACUAAUUUGGAUCCUUUGAAGUUAACCCUUCUUGGUUGUCCAAGAGCAUUAAAAUCACAGACAACCUUGUAUAUUUUGUUUCCUACUCUUCUUUUGUCAAUAAAGCAUUAAUAAGAAGAGUGACCAGAUUUAUUGCAAUUAAAACAGUGAUUUGUGUGAGCAUGUUGCUGAAAACACUUUAAGAUAUGAUGCUGAUGGUGAUCAAAAGAUUUGAAUUUUUUGGUAUUUGAAAGGGUGCAUUUCUUUUGAAAGAUCCAUCUCUAACAUUAGUACCUCCUUUUGCCAGAAAUCUUAAACCAGAAUUUCUUGACACAGACGGGUAUCUAGAACGUGAGACUCUUUUGUGAAAGAAAAAUUUUCUAAAAACGUCCUCAUUGUUAGAGAUGUAACCCAGACUAGAGUUUAUUUGAAGCAGGUUCAGGUUUUGAAUAAGAUGCAUUUUUAUAAAAAUAUGGCUUUUCAAAAUCAGCAUUAAUGUUAGAUGAAUAUCCAAGACCAGAUUUAUCAAAAGAUGAUUUUAUUUUUGAAGAUGAUGCUGUGAAUUUGCAAGUGAUUUUUUUUAAAUGCAUCUUUUUUUAUUACAUACCCUAAACCUGAUUUUUCAAACAAAGUUCUUUGAUUAGCAAGUAAUUUGUCUAAGUUGCUUGAGUUAUGUGCAAAUUUUGCUAAAUCAUGAUUCAAUCAUUUGAUCAUUUAAUCUUUUAUUUUCAGCAACAGAUUUUUGAGAGAGAUCAAUAAUGCGCUUUCCAUUGAAAAUUUUCAUAUUUAAAAAAAUCUAUUUUCUUUAAUAAAAUCAAAAGCACAUUUGAUCUCCUUCACCCUUUUCUUUUAAAAACUCAUUUUCAGCAUUCAAAACUUCAUUUUCAGAUUUACAUUUGUUGUAUCUAUUUAUCAAUAUUUCAGAAAGGUGAGAGAGAUCAUCAAUAGUCACAUGCAAAUCAUCAAGAGAUAAGUCAUAGAAAUUUACCUCUUCUUGUUGAUCUUCAUCAAUCAUGAAACAGAUUUGUGCUCUAUCUUCGGAGUCCUCUUCCUUAUCUGAGUCAAUCUUGAGAUCCUCCCAAGAAGCCAUAAGUCCUUUCCUUUUUGGUUCCUUUGAGUUGCCACCUCUGCUUCUUCCUUUGAGUUUCAUCAUCCUUCUAAGUUUUCUAGCAAAACAUGCAAACUCGUAAUCUUAUAAACAGUCACUGGAUUCAUCAUCUAAUGAUUUAGUGCAAGAUUUAAGAGCCACUCUCCCUUUUAUUUAUUUUUUUUGUAUCAUCAUUUUUUUUAUUUCAUAUGCUAAUAAAUUUUUCUCUCAACUCAUUACAGGUUAUUUCACUAUCCACUCUCUUGUCAAGCUUCUCAAGAUUUUCCUCACUAGCAUCUGUUCGGAAUGAGUAAUCCCCAUAGCUUUCAAGCUAUUAUUGAUGAUAAAGAAUGUUAUCAAUUGAUUCUUCUUUCUUCAUAGAGAACAUCUCAUACUCUUUGCUCAGCAUGUCAAUGUUGGUUUCUUCCACUUGUGUGGUGCCCUCAUUUGUGACUUGAAACUUUAUCCCAGAUUUUCUUUGCUGUUUUGCAUCUUGAAUCCUUUCGGUAUUCCUUGAAGCUGAUUACACAGUUCAGCAUGUUGACAGUAUUGCUAUUUAGUUUUUCUUUCCUUUUGUAAUCUUCAUUCCAUUCUGCUUCGACUUUGGGAGAGACAACACCACCAGUGCCAUCUUUUGUAGGGACUUGAGGAUCAUUUAUGAUGAUCUUCCACAUGUUGUAAUCCACUGACUGAGAAAAAAAUCUUCAUUCUUCCUCCUUUUUUUGAAGAAUGGAGAUCUAUUGUUAGACUGUCCUUCAGUCAGGAUAUAAGCCACUGUGUUUGAACCCAUGUAGUUCGCCAUCAGGAUCUUUUCCUCCAAGCUGUGAAGCUUGAUCUCUUUGAGACCAAGCUCCGAUACUAAUUAAUGAUAAUCAGUGGCUAAGAGAAGGGUGGUUGAAUCUUAGCCUUCUUUUUCUGAAUGUUACUUUCUACUUUUUAGGAUAGCUCCAAGAGAUAUUUCUGCUUUUUGUCUCAUAACUGGUUAAGAGAUAUUUUCUUUUUGUCUCGUAACUAGUUAGAAGAUUUUUCAAUUUUAUCUCCCACAAACAGAAACAGUAAAGGAGUAGAAGAGAAAGAGAGAAUCACACCCAAAAGUAUCCUGGUUCAGCUGCUAAGUGCAAUGCAGCCUACAUCUAGUCUCCAUCACAACAGUGACAGAAUUUUACUAUAAUCAACUUGAUUACAGACACCAAUUCUUCCAUAGGAACUACCCAUUUUUAUCCGGGACAAGUCCAGAAUCUAUCCCCAAAACUGAACUUGACUUGGUCACCUACCAAGCUUUCGACUGCAAAGUGCUAACCCAACAUGCAAGGGAACAAGUCCAAAUUUUAUCCCAACUCGAACUUGACUAGACCUCAAUCUAGCUUUCAACCGCAAAGUGCUAACCCAACUUGCAAGAAAAUCUCCUCAGGAUCAUGACAACAAAACAAAAAUACAUACAAAGAAUUUCUGAGAUAAUAAUGGCUUUUUCUUUAACUCUCUGCCUUUUUUCUACUCAUUGGCUUUUUCUUACAAAACUUCACAUUUUGUCUUUUACAAAUGAAACACAGAUAGACUCACUGAGAAAAAGAAAUAUUUAAUGAAAGCCAUGAAGGAGAAGAAUAAACAGCUCAAAGAGUUAUGGGAACCCGAACGUGUGCUCUCACUCCUUGUCUCAAACCUUGGCUGUUCACCCUUAUUAUAGAAGGGGAAGCCUCCAAGGUUGAAACGGUUCAACCGAGCCAACUUCUUCUUCUUCAACACCAAAACCGGUUCGGACAGAGAGAAGAGAGAGGGAGCCGAAAGCUAAAAUCAACAUGCAAUUAUCUCUCUCUCAUCCCUUUUCUUCAAGCUUCAUCAAUCUGAGCCUUCCAUCUUGACUUGAUCCCCAAGAAGGAUUUCUGACCCUUGAUGAACCCUUAAUCUUUGACAGCUCUAUCUGCUCCACUUUUGCUUCCUCCUCCACGUAGCUAUAGUAGCUACCUUCUGUGAUAGAUGAACAAAAAGUAGAAACGAGCCAUACCACAGGGAUCUUCUUCUCUGACCGAAAUGGAUUGCUACCACUUUUGGCAUGGAGAUCUUGAAGCUUUUUCACCACAUCUUGCCAUUAGUAGAAAAGAUCUCAGCUACGCCAUGCUUUGGAUCUUCCUUUUUUGCAAAGGCCAUUACCCUAGCCUUUUGCUUCUUCCUAACUUCUCUAUAAUUUCUCUGAUAACUUCUUCUUCUUCUUUCUUCCAUCUUCUUUUCUGAUGGAUGUGACAAACAAAACAAGAGAGAGAGGAGAGAGUAGAAACAAAGCAUUGAUUGUUAGAUUAAAUAAAAUUGAAAUCCCACUAACAACUCCCAAUGCAUAAAGUAACGUGUGGAGCAAUUAAUGCCAUCAAAUCAAUUUUAAUUUUCUCUCUCCUAUUACCAAUGCAUGCAAUAAAAUUAAGUUAAUUAAUUUUCAAUUCCAUAAGCCAUGGAGGAAUGUAAUCGUGAAAAGCAUGCACUCAAUUUGAAUUUGGAUCCCACCAAAGUAAAUGGGUAAUAGAAACCUCAUGCUCCAUUCCCUUUUUCUUUUGAUUUCGGACCAAGUCUUGUUGGUCACCCAACAAAAAUUAAUUUGGGCUACUCACAUGAUACAUGGCCCAAAUUAUCUUUGCAAAAUAAUUCAUCCACACUCUUAGAAAUCUUUUUUCACAUUGGCUGAAUAUUUUUUUUCAUUAUUUUGGACUAUGUUGUUUUAGCCCAAAUAAACAAAUCAAGGCAUGUGAGAGAGUGAACAUUUUUGUGAUCACCGUAUGGAGUCUUUGGUCACUUGAAGAGAUUGCAUUGGGAUCAUUGAAAGGCUUCUUCCAAGGCUUUAGGCCACUUGUUUCUUUCUUUAAUUUAUGAUGGGCUUUGAUGGAUUUGGGCCUCCUUGGAUUUCUUUCUUUCUUUAAACAAUCAGCCACUAACAUUUGAAUUAUUUUUGCUCAAAGCUGAAUUUGUUCAAAGAUCAAUUUGGGCUUGUGUAACUUUGACCCAAUAGGAAUUAAAUUGCUUGCCUGCAAACUUGAACACAAAUCAUCAAAUAACUUAUUGGAAAUUAUUAAAUAGAACACUUAAUAAUAAUUUUAAUAAUUUUCUAAUUUACAUUUUAAUAAUGUUUGAUCAUCAUUUCAGUUUUCCAAACUCAACACUUGUAACUCUUAAAAUUGAAUAGCAAUUGGGUUGCAACCAAGACACUCUUGUUGCUAGAUAAGUUAUGAGUUUUCAAACCAAACUUUAGCCUAAUUGAAGUUUUGUAGUAAAAGUUAUGCAAGUUGAAAGAUACUAAGCUGCUUGAUUUCUAAAAACAGAUUUUGAAUUAUUUCUAUCUAACUUUCAAAUUAUGAAACUUCUUCAUUAAAAAUGAUAUUAACCUGGAACUAGUUGAAAAAAAAACUUGGAUAAGUUAAGUUUAACCAUAUUAAUUUUGAAGGUGGUUGGAAUUAAUUUGAAUUUUAUAUGGAAUAUUGAAUAUUAAACACUGCUGUUGUUUUUUUGGUUUUUAAGCACUGCAGAACAAGCACGGUUUUCCUUUUAUUUUCAAGGCUAGAUUGAUCAGAAAUUUAUGAUUUUUAGUUUAUUAGAAAGCUUAAUCCGAGAUGGAUGCCUGAACAUAAAGUUUUUGCAAUUCCGAAUUCAUUUGGUAUUUUAAAAACAUAAUUAAAAUUAGGCUGCCGGUGUUAUUUUGGUAACUACCUUGGGUAUGGAUCUUAAGAAAAGAUUCCUAUAUUAUUAUCAAAUAUUUUUUAGAAUGUACUGUUGUAGUACUUGAUGAUAAAAGGUUGGUGAAAUAUUGAGAAAGAGGGAAACCCGUAAGGGUGGUUAAGUCCUAUUUUUAGAGGAGAUCAUGUCCAAACUUUUAUAAAAAUAUAAGGACUUAAUCAAAAUGAAUAUUUAAGACUUGUUUAAUGAUGAUAACUUCAACAAUUCUUUUGAGAAAAGAUAAUCCGUUUAUGAAAUUAUUGGCAAAGACGUGGGUUUUGUCCCGCUUGCAUAUUUAUGAUUAUAAAAGAGAAUAAAAACCAGAGGAUCUGUUGAAAGGUCAUUUGUUGCUUGAGGCAACCCAAGAUAUGUUGUUUAUUCAUUUGUUGCACUAAGGCAACUUCAGAGAUAUUUAUAUGUUCAUCUGCUGCAUUGAGGCAGUCAGAUAGAUGGUGGUUCGACCACUGAGAACGCUUUCCUGUGGUACAGAUCCAUAUUUCAUUUCUGUAAGGCAGAGGGGUUAUUUCCUGCUACAGAAGUACCGUGACCACCUGUUUCAUUUCUGUAGUGGCAGAGGGAUUAUUUCCUGUAUACAGAAGGUGUGUCGGCAUACAUCCCUGCAGUGGCAGAUGUGUUAUUUCCUGCAUGCAGUGGACCCUGUGGUGGCAGAGGGGUUAUUUCCUGUACACAGGGGUAUAGCCAACAGGAAAUCCAUAUCCGGGUAGUAAUGCUGGGUUAAGCCAGGAGCGGGUAGAAACCGACAGAUGAGCUCAUUACCUACACUAUGGCUAGACAUGCAUCAUCUUGUUUUUGCAUUAUUCUUUGUGAUAUUUCCUAUGCUUUUAUUGUGUUCUUUAUUUUGUUUGCUUGUGUUCUAUUUGUAUAGUUCUACUUGCCUAUUUUUGAAUUGCGCUUAGAGUUAGGUAUUAUAUGAAAAGUCAUACUAGUUCAGCAUAGACUUAAUGAACCUAUGUUUAGGACAUGCUGACUAUUCAUACCGAGAUUGACAUAAGCUAAUAUCCAAUUCUCUUUCAACAUAAUUUUCAAAGAGUCUUAUGUAAUUAAUGAAAAUGAAUAUUAUUGAAUUAAAUUAUCUAUUUGCAUUUUUAUUCUUUAUUUUUACGACAUUCUCGAUCUCUACUGAGAACUUGUGGUUUGGUUCUCACCCCCAAAUUUUUCACCCUUUCAGUGACACAGGUUUGAAGACGCAAUAUGAAGCUGCAAGCGAUUAGUCGAUUUUUUCAUUAUUUUAAUUGCUUUCAUAGAGUCCCUCCCUAUUGUCCUUUGAGAUUUUAUCUUACAUAGAGGGGUAGGUAUGGUACACUGUAUUUGAGUUUUAUUUGGUUUCUUUUGUAUAAAAAUUAUUGCUAAUAGUAUUUAUGUGAUUAUUAUUACUUGUAGAAUCUUUGAUAUAUGUCUUUAAUAAAUAAAAACAAAAUUUUUCGGUAUUUUCUUAAAUUAGAAACGCGAAAUCAAAAUAAAGGCUCAGUAAUUAAGUAGUUAAUACUAGAAAAGGUUACGUAAUGUUCUUUCUAGUAGAAAUACCCUGACUUAAGCAAGGUAUUUUGCUGGAAGGGAUGUUACAGUAAAGGUGUCAUGCACAUAAAUUAAUCCCUCACUUUGCAUUAAGUGACUCAUAUUAGUCCCUAAAAUUAAAUAUCGUCGUGCACCAAACUAAUCGAUUCACCAGUUUUUUUUCAUUUUUUUAAAAAAUUUAAAAUUUUCAAUAUCUUGGAUGCACUAAUUUUAAUUUUGUUUUUUCAUAUAUCAUUUAAAUACAAGUACUUUCAUAAAAAUUCUCAUUGUCAUUAUUACAUCAUACUUCUAUUUAUAGUAUAAUUCUCAUUCUCUAAUUGGGCUAACCCAAUACUAAUCUUAUCAUUAUCCUAUCCUUCAAAACAACCUUGUCCUUAAGAUUGGAGAAAAAAUAUAAAACCUAAGUAAAAUCGUAAAUAUGAAUUACAAGUACUAAACAAAAUUAAUUUAAAAAAUAAUAUUUUCUAUACUACUACUUAAAAUAAAAAUUCGCCACCAGAAUCACAUUAUUUAAAAUAGAGUAAAGGACAAAUAGGUCCCUGACCUUUUUUUUGUGGACAUUUUUGUCCUCAAGGAAGAAAAAAUACAUUCAAGUCCCUCACUUCCAAAAAACGUGGACAUUUCAACCCUUCCGUUGAAUUCAGGCGUUUGGACUGGACGGAAAAGUCUGACCUGGCAGAGGUGGCACUGACCUGGCCGUUACGGAGCCCACGUGGCAGGAAGCUUUUCGAAACAGGACAUAUAAGUCCCCGGAGAUGAAAACAACGCCAUUUCGUUACCUCCCCUCCAAACACAGUUGAAUCCCCGUAUACAAUACCCAGAAGACCCAUACUUGAGUGAGAGAAUUACUGAAAAUCCUAUGCCAAAGACGAUCAAACUCUUUCGUCUCUAUUUUUCCCUCCAAAAAAUACAACACGUACAAGAGCAAUAGGUGCCGGUUGAAGUUGGUGCCAGAAGCUGAGAAGAAGCUUGCUCUGAGGUCAUGGUUGCUAUCUUCGUCAGAAGGUAAAAUUGUGAUGCUUAGCUAGGAAGGCAAUGUGUGUGCAUGUUUAUAGUGUAAGAUAGAAUAUGAAAAAAGGGGUUUAAAGCGUCCUUUGUAGGAUUAGGGGAAAGGAUUGUGUUAGGGCAAUGUGGUUUCGUUCAUAUCUUGUGUUUAUGUGUUUUUUAUUUUAAUCCUAGUUCUGCACGGGUUAAUUUCAGAUGGUUGAUGUGUUUGUGGUGCCGGUCUUUCAUCAUGGAGGGAACUUUGUAAGGGAAAUUGAUGAAAAAAUGGUUUAUCAAAAUGGAAAGGAAGAGAGGUUUCCUCAGAUGGACCUAGACUUUGUUAAUUUUGGAGACCUGGUGACACUAUUUAAGGGCUUGGACUACCAGUCAUACAAGGCAGUAUACUGGUAUGAUCCAACAAGCACUGACAUUGAAUCCGCAAUGAACAUAUUGACUAGGGAUGCAGGGAUCAACGCAAUGCGAGAGAACUUAAUGAAGAACCCAGGGCUAGGUGAGUUCCAUAUAUACUUUGACCACCCUGUUAAUGAUCCGGAGGUUGUUGAGGAUGCUGCCCAGGACAGAGAUACUGCAGGGGAGGUGGAUGAAACUGCAGAGGAACUGAAUGCAUCCUCUUCAUCUGAUGACGGGUACAAGAGCACGGAGGACGUGUUGUACAAACCUCCACCGGCUGGAAUUGAGAGUGAUAGUACUGAAAGUGACAGCAAUGGUGGGGUUACUGCUGGGAAGAGGAAAAGAUGUGUCAAGGGUAAAAAGAAGGUAGUCACUCCGAAGAAAAAGGUAGUUACUCCAAGGAAAAAGGUAGUUAUUCUGAAGAAGCAAGGGAAGAGGAAGAGACAAUUUGGCACAAGGGUUAAGGAAAGAGGGGAAGGCAGUGGGAAUAGGAAUGAUGUACGUGGUGAAGCUGGGGAUCAGUUGCCUGAUGUCCAACCCGAUUAUGCAGUACGGGUGGGUUUUAUGUUAGUGAGCUCCCAACAGAGGUGGAGAAAAUCAUGUUUGAGUAUGAGUCUGAAGACUUGCAUACUCUCAUAUCAUCCGAUGAUGAAGGCAGAGGUAAUAAAUUUCCAGAUUUUGAUGAUGAUUAUGCUAAUGGUGAGGGCAGGUUUGAGUUAGGAACUAGGUUUACCACUGUGGACAGGUUCAAGGAGGUAGUUAAAGAUUCGUUCAUUGUUGAGGGGCGGGAAUUGAGGUGGAUAAAAAAUGACAAAGAGAGAGUGAGAGUGGGGUGUGGGGAUCAGGAGUGUCCUUACUUGGUUCACUUGUCAUAUAACAAAAGUUUGCAGUGUUAUCAAGUGAAGACCUACCAUCCAAAACACACUUGUGCAAGGGAUUUGGGCAGUAACGCUGUUGAUCAGCACUGGCUAAGUAAGAAAAUUGAGAAACGAAUGUCAACCCAACCACACAUGAAUACGAAGAAGACAACUGAUUUCCUUAAAGAGGAAUUUUCGCUCUGUCCCCAUCCUAAGAUGGUUUAUAGAGCAGUGAAGGAAGCUAGGGACAAGAUCAUGGGAAAUGAAAGGGAACAAUACAAGAGAACGAGGGAUUAUUGUGAGGAAGUACUUAGGAGAAAUCCAGGCUCAUCAGUUAGGCUUGAGCUCAUGCCAAUUCUAGAGGCUCCCCCUGUUUUUGAUAAACUGUACAUUUGCCUAGAUGCCUGCAAACAAGGUUUCAAAGAUGGAUGUCGUCCUUUGUUGCAUUUGGAUGGUUGCUUACUGAAAACAUAUUAUGUUGGUUGGCUUCUAGAAGCAGUUGCUCAGGACGCAAACAAUCAGUUUUAUGUGGUUGCAUAUGGGGUUGUCAGGACUGAGACCAAGGAUUCCUGAAAGUGGUUCCUGACUAAUCUGCAAGGGGACAUAUGAGACGAUGCAAACCAUGGCUGAAACUUCAUAUCAGACCAGCAGAAAGUGAAAGUAGUUUAUGGUUAUUUUCAUUGCUUUGUAUUUAGUUAAGAUGAUUGCUAACUAUUUGGUGAUCUUCAUUGCUAUCUAUUUGGUUAAUUUCAUUGCUGUCUGUUUGAUUAAUUUCAAUGCAGGGUUUGCUGCCUGUGCUGAAGGAGGUCAUGCCACAUGCUAAGCUCCGCAAUUGCGUCAUGCAUAUGUGGAAAAACUUCAUAAACCGCUACAAGGUCUUGUACAUUAGACAUGUUAUGUGGGAGUGUGCUAGAUGCAUGACUGUUGCUGAAUUCAAGGAAUGCAUGGAGAAGUUGAAGACAGUUAACCAGGGUGCUUGGGAGUACCUCAGUAAAUUUGAACCAGAAACAUAGGUUAAGGCUUACUUCUCCCAUGGACCAAAAGUGGAUAACCUCACAAACAUGUGCGAGGUUUUUAAUGCUAAAAUAGUAAACUACCGUUGCAAGCCUAUCCUAACUAUGUGUGAAGAGAUCAGGUGUUACCUGAUGAGGACUUGAGGAGGAUGGUGAAUCAUAAACGGGUAUUGGACAAUCACUCAGAGAAGCUAGCACCAGUUCAGGAAAAGAGGCUGGAGAAGUUAUUAAAUCUUAGCACCAAGUGGACGGCUGAAUGGAUUGGUGACAAUGAACGAAAGAGGUUUGAGGUUUCUCGCAAAGCAACGAAGGUGGAUGUGGACCUCAUUAGGUACAGUUGCUCAUGCAACAGAUGGCAAUUCACUGGUAACUACUGUUCUCACUUGAGUCAGUUUUUUGGUUAUUUUGAAAUGAAUUUCCUUUACUGUUUUUUUGGUUCCAUUACUCACCUUCACUGCAUUAUCUCAGGCAUGCCCUGUUUACAUGCACUAGCUGCCAUUUGGAAGAGACAUGACAUACCUCAUGACUAUGUUCACCCUUGGCUGUGCAUGGAGUCCAUCAGGAUGACAUAUGCACACUGCAUUAAGCCUGUUCCAAGUCCAGAAUUUUGGGCAAGAACUAAGUUCUCGAAGUUAGACCCACCCAUUAUCAAAAGGCUAAUUAGACAGCUAAAGGUUCAUAAUAGGCAAAAAGAUCCUGCUGAGCCCAUCAUGCAAGGGGGAAAACUGAAGAGAUCAUUCAUUGUAUUCUGCAGCAAGUGUGGUGAGAAGGGCCACAACUACAAAACAUGUAAGAGAGCUCCUUCCAACCCAAACUGGAAGCUGAAGACAAGGCGCCCUAGGAAGAAAGCAGCUAGCUCCUCCCAGUCACUGAUUGUGCUUCCUCUAUCACAAUCUGCUCCCCCACCAGAGGUAAGAUCCCUACUGUUAUCAUUGUCUUUUAGGGACUAUUCUGUCUUAGUACUAUUAUGGUUAGGGACUAAUCUGUCUUAGUAUACAAAACAUUAGGGUUAAAUAUGUCUUAGUUUACUAUUCAUGAGGUGCUGUUAUGUCCCAUCAUCAAACUGUUUACAUAUUACAUGCAUAUUUUCAGGAUACAUCCAGCAGCCAACCAGGCAGCUCCACAUGCCUGACCCCAAACUCCACUGUUGUGGAAUCACCUGCCCCAGAAAUCCACCUAUGCCACCAGCUCCAACAAGGGUGACAAGAUCCACAGUUGUCAUUUCACUUGCAGGGCCAACAGCUACUCAAGCCAGGCCACUAGCCCCAACUACAGGCCAUCCAUUUAAACCUCCAGGGAAAGCCAAUGACACAGCUCGCCCACAACAGUCCAGGUUCAGACCAAAAUAGAAGAUCUUCAGGCUGCCAGCUCUAAUUGCUGCCUGCACAAUCCCACCUAAAACACAAUAGCCAACUCUAUCUACCAUCCCAUCUGCAGCACGAAUCAGGAUGCUCCACCCCCAAAUUUUCCAACUUCAUCAACAACGAAGGACUCGAAGGAGUGAAGACUUCUGUCAUUAUGUGCUUUUGUGAAAACUUUUUGGAUAUGUAAUGGUUCAUAACAAGUAGUAGAUACAAUUUGCCUUUUUGUUACAUGCUUUUUGAACACUGGUGCGUAGAAAUCGUGACGGUUCCAUUCCUUGGUAACGGCACUAAAAACUCAAUACGCACGUUCAUAAUCUUAGUUCUUUGUCACAACUUCGCACAACUAACCAGCAAGUGCACUGGGUCAUCCAAGUAAUAAACCUUACGUGAGUAAGGGUCGAUCCCACAGAGAUUGUCGGCUUGAAGCAAGCUAUGGUCACCUUGUAAAUCUCAGUCAGGCGGAUUCAAUUGAUUAUGGAGAUUUAGUAAUUAAAAGAUAAAUAAAAUAUAAAAUAAAAAUAAUGAUACUUAUGUAAUUCAUUGGUGAGAAUUUCAGAUAAGCGUAUAGAGAUGCGUUCAUUCCUCCUGAACCUCUGCUUUCCUAUUGUCUUCAUCUAAUCAUUCAUACUCCUUUCUAUGGCAAGCUGUAUGUUAGGCAUCAUCGUUGUCAAUGGCUACAUCCUGUCUUCUUAGUGAAAAUGGUCCAAUGCGCUGUCACUGCAUGGCUAAUCAUCUGUCGGUUCUCGAUCAUACUGGAAUAGGAUCCAUUGAUCCUUUUGCGUCUGUCACUACCCCAGCACUCGCGAGUUUGAAGCUCGUCGCAGCCAUCCCUUCCCAGAUCCUACUUGAAAUACCACAGACAAGGUUUAGACUUUCCGGAUCUCAAGAAUGGCCGUCCAUGGAUUCUAACUUAUACCACGAAGAUUCUGAUUAAGGAAUCCCAGAGAUACUCAUUCAAUCUAAGGUAGAACGGAAGUAGUUGUCAGGCAUGCGUUCAUAGGUUGGGAAUGAUGAUGACUGUCACGAUCAUCACAUUCAUAUUGAAGUGCGAAUGAAUAUCUUAGAAUCAGAAUAAGCUUGAAUUGAAUAGAAAAACGAUAGUACUUUGUAUUAAUUCAUGAGGAACAGCAGAGCUCCACACCUUAAUCUAUGGUGUGUAGAAACUCUACCGUUGAAAAUACAUAAGUGAUGAAGGUUCAGGCAUGGCCGAAUAGCCAGCCUCCAAACGUGAUCUAAAGAUGAAACUAAAGAUGUAAAUGCAAUAGUAAAAAGUCCUAUUUAUGCUAAACUAGUUACUAGGGUUUAUAGAAAUGAGUAAAUGAUGCAGAAAUCCACUUCCGGGGCCCACUUGGUGUGUGCUUGGGCUGAGCAUUGAGCUUUACAUGUGUAGAGGCUUCUCUUGGAGUUGAACGCCAGUUUGUAACCUAUUUCUGGCGUUUAACUCCACUUUGCAACCUGUUUCUGGCGUUUAACUCCAUAAUGCAGCAUGGAACUGGCAUUGAACGCCAGUUUGCGUCAUCUAAACUCGGAGGAAUAGCGAUGGAUUCCUAUGAAGCAUUCAGGAACAAGAAGAUUCAAUCGGACGACGAAUUCUUACGUGGUCCAAGGAAAUCAAAGGUCCGCUUCCACGAUUUCAUCUAUAUCGAAUCUGAAUAUCAGAAUAGCUUAUAUAGUCAUGAUUCAAUUCAGGUCCACUGACUUUUGAUUGAUUUCUCUUCGGAUCUGAUUGGAACAUUGGAGAAGUAGGAAGAAGAGAAAGUAGCUGCGAUUGCUUGGAGACCUCUUGAAUCGAUUCUUACUUAGACUACAAUAAUUAUUAUAACCACAACUUGUCUUGUCGUACUAGAAGUUCGAACUAGAGGCAGGAAGUAAGUACUGGCGCAGGGAAUGGAGUUUUAAGAACAGGAACAUCGUUAUGCCUUCCUUUCAGUCCUCUGAUCUUACCUUAGACCCUCCAUGCUAUGCGGGGAAGCGAGGUAAGGGCUAGCUUCUAAUCUCCGAUGAUGCCAAGCGAGUCUUCUCGUACUUCAGGCACUCCAGAGGUUAGUUUGUAAAAGAGUGAGAACAUGUGAAACAACAAAGAGAAUUAGGAAUGGAAGGUGGGUGCCCUCUAUAUUGGGGGUUGAUUCUAGCUUUCCGUCAUCUCAACCUAAGCAUCACGUUCCUAGGGACAGAGACAUCUGCGCUCUAAGGCUAUCAUAGCCAGCAUGGUUACAUCUAACUGCCUACUGGGCAAGCUUCAACUUCAAAGUCACCUGAUUUGGAUAUGGACUAUUAUAUAUUGCUGGAAAGCCCUGAAUGUCUACUUUCCAAAGCAAUUGGGAGCGCGCCAUUUGGAGUUCUGUAGCUCCAGAAAAUGCACUUUGAGUGCAGGGAGGUCAGAAUCCAACAGCAUCUGCAGUCCUUCUUCAACCUCUGAAUCUGAUUUUUGCUUAAGUCCCUCAAUUUCAGCCAGAAAAUACCUGAAAUCACAGAAAAACACACAAACUCAUAGUAAAGUCCAGAAAUGUGAUUUUUAUUUUAAAACUAAUAAAAAUAUACUAAAAACUAACUAAAUUAUACUGAAAAUUAUGUAAAAAUAAUGCCAAAAAGCGUAUAAAUUAUCCGCUCAUCACAACACCAAACUUAAAUUGUUGCUUGUCCCCAAGCAACUGAAAAUUAAAUAGGAUAAAAAGAAGAAAAUAUACUAUAAAUUCCAAAAUAUCAAUGAAACUUAGUUCCAAUCAGAUGAGCGAGACUUGUAGCUUUUUGCCUCUUGAAUAGUUUUGGCAUCUCACUUUAUCCGUUGAAGUUCAGAAUGAUUGGCGUCUAUAGGAACUUAGAAUUCAGAUAGUGUUAUUGAUUCUCCUAGUUCAGUAUGUUGAUUCUUGAACACAGCUACUUUAUGAGUUUUGGCUGUGGCCCUAAGCACUUUGUUUUUCAGUAUUACCACCGGAUACAUAAAUGCCACAGACACAUAACUGGGUGAACCUUUUCAGAUUGUGACUCAGCUUUGCUAAAGUCCCCAAUUAGAGGUGUCCAGGGUUCUUAAGCACACUCUUUUUUUUGCUUUGGACCUUGACUUUAACCGCUCAGUCUCAAGUUUUCACUUGACACCUUCACGCCACAAGCACAUGGUUAGGGACAGCUUGGUUAGCCGCUUAGGCCAUGAUUUUAUUCCUUUAGGCCCUCCUAUCCACUGAUGCUCAAAGCCUUGGAUCAUUUUUAUUUACCCUUGCCUUUUGGUUUAAAGAGCUUUUGGCUUUUUCUGCUUGUUUUUUUUUUCUUUUUCUUUCUUUUUUUCCGCUAUUUUUUUUCUGCAAGCUUUUGUAUUCACUGCUUUUUCUUGCUUCAAGAAUUAUUUUUAUGAUUUUUCAGAUUAUCAAAUAACAUUUCUCCUUUUUCAUCAUUCUUCAAGAGCCAACAUAUUUAACAUUCAUAAACAUCAACUUCAAAAGACAUAUGCACUGUUCAAGCAUUCAUUCAGAAAACAAAAAGUAUUGUCACCACAUCAAAAUAAUUAAACUAGUUUCACGGAUGAAUUCAAAACCAUGUACUUCUUGUUCUUUUGUUUUUAGAAUAUUUUUUUCAUUUAAGAGAGGUGAUGGAUUCAUAUUCAUAACUUUAAGGCAUAGACACUUAGACACUAGUGAUCAUAUAGUAAAGACACAAACAUAAAUAAAACAUAAAGCUCAAAAAUCUAAAAACAGUAAAAUAAAUAGACAAGGAGAUUAAGGAAUGAGUCCACCUUAGUGAGGGUGGCGUCUUCCUCUUCUUGAAGAACCAAUGGUGCUUUUGAGCUCCUUUAUGUCUCUUCCUUGCCUUUGUUGCUCCUCCCUCAUAGCUCUUUGAUCUUCUCUAAUCUCAUGGAGGAUGAUGGAGUGCUCUUGGUGCUCCACCCUUAGUUGUCCCAUGUUGGAACUUAAUUCUCCUAGGGAGGUGUUGAUUUACUCCCAAUAGUUUUGUGGAGGAAGGUGCAUCCCUCGAGGCAUCUCAGGGAUUUCAUGGUGGGGAAUUUUCUCAUGCUCUUGUUGAGGUCCAUGAUCUCUUAUUUGCUCCAUCCUUUUCUUAGUGAUGGGCUUGUCCUCUUCAAUGAGGAUGUCUCCCUCUAUGUCAAUUCCAGCCGAAUUGCAGAGGUGGCAUAUGAGGUGAGGAAAGGCUAACCUUGCCCAAGUGGAGGACUUGUCAGCCACCUUGUAAAGUUCUUGAGGUAUAAUCUCAUGAACUUCUACCUCCUCUCCAAUCAUGAUACUAUGGAUCAUGAUGGCUCGGUCUAUAGUAACUUCAGACCGGUUACUAGUAGGAAUGAUUGAGCGUUGAAUGAACUCUAACCAUCCCCUAGCCACUGGUUUGAGGUCAUGCCUUCUUAGUUGAACCGGCUUGCCUCUUGAGUCAAUUUUCCAUUGAGCUCCUUCUUCACAUAUGUCUCUGAGGACUUGGUCCAACCUUUGAUCAAAGUUGACCCUUCUUGUGUAGGGGCAUGCGUUCUCUUCCAUCAUUGGCAAGUUGAAUGCCAACCUUACAUUUUUCGGACAGAAAUCUAAGUAUUUCCCCCGAACCAUGGUAAGCCAAUGCUUUGGAUUCGAGUUCACACUUUGAUCAUGGUUCCUAGUGAUCCAUGCGUUUGCAUAGAACUCUUGAACCAUUAGGAUCCCGACUUGUUGAAUGGGGUUGGUGAGAACUUCCCAACCUCUUUUUCGGAUCUCAUGUCGGAUCUCCGGAUACUCAUUCUUUUUGAGCUUGAAAGGAACCUCAGGGAUUACUUUCUUCUUGACCACAACUUCAUAGAAGUGGUCUUGAUGGACCUUUGAGAUGAAUCUCUCCAUCUCCCAUGACUCAGAGGUGGAAGCAAUUGCCUUCCCUUUCCUCUUUCUAGAGGUUUCUCUGGCCUUAGGUGCCAUAUAUGGUUAUGGAAAAACAAAAAGCUAUGCUUUUACCACACCAAACUUAAAAUGUUUGCUCGUCCCCGAGAAAAAGAAGAAAGAAAGUAGUAGAAAAAGAAGAAAAUGGAGGAGAUGGGGGAAGAAUAUGUAUUCGGCCAAGGAGAAGAAGAGAGGGUUGUGUUGUGUGAAAAUGAAGAAGUAGUGAGGGGUUUAUAUAGGAGUGAGGGGGGAUGUAGGGUUCGGCCAUUAGGGUUGGGUUUGGGAGGAAAAUUAGUUUGAAUUUUGAAGGUAGGUGGGGUUUAUGGGGAAGAGAGGAUGGAUGUAAGUGGUGAAGAGGUGAUGGAAAAGAGUGAUUGAGGUGAUUGGUGAAGGGUAUUUGGGGAAGAGAGUUAUGAAAAGGUGUGAAGAGGAGAGAAGAAAAUGUGGGGAUCCUGUGGAGUCCACAGAUCCUGAGGGGAUCCUGUGGGAUCCACAGAUCAAGUGGGGUCAAGGACUUAACAUCCCUGCUCCAAUUAGGCGUGUAAAAUGCCCUUGCUGUGCAAUCCUGGCAUUUAACGCCAGACUGCUGCCUGUUUCUGGCGUUAAACGCCCAAAUGUAGCUUGUUUCUGGCGUUUAACGCCAGGUAGAUGCUUGUUUCUGGUGUUAAACGCUAGACAGAUGCUUGUUUCUGGCGUUUAAAUGCUAGAUUGUUCUCCUCCAGGGUGUGCUGUCUUCAAUGCUAUUUUUCAUUCUGUUUUUUAUUUUUCAGUAGUUUUUGUGACUUCACAUGAUCAUCAACCUAAUAAAACACGAAAUAACAAAAAGAAAAUAAAAUAGAUAUGCUUAAAUAACAUUGGGUUGCCUCCCAACAAGCGCUUCUUUAAUGUCAAUAACUUGACAGUGAGCUCUCAUGGAGCCUCACAGAUAAUCAGAGCAAGGUUGGAACCUCCCAACACCAAACUUAGAGUUUGACUGUGGGGGCUUUGGUUGACUCUGCAGUGAGAGAAGCUUUUCAUGCUUCCUCUCCAUGGUUACAGAAGGAGAUCCUUGAGUUUUAAACACAAGGUUGUCCUUAUUCAGUUGAAGGACCAACUCUCCUCUGUCCACAUCAAUCACAGCUCUUACUGUGGCUAGGAAGGGUCUUCCAAGGAUGAUGGAUUCAUCAUCUUCCUUCCCAGUGUCUAGGAUUAUGAAAUCAGCAGGGAUGUAAAGGCCUCCAACCUUUACUAACACGUUCUCUACUUGUCCAUAAGCCUAUUUUCUUAAGUUGUCUGCCAUCUCUAAUGAGAUUUGGUGCACGAAAUUGUGAUCUCCAGGCUCGAACAAAUCCUGGUAAUGGCUCCAAAGCUUGGUGCUCUGAUCUUAAUUCAUAAUUGUCACAACUUCGAUACAACUAACCAGCAAGUGCACUGGGUCGUCCAAGUAAUACCUUACGUGAGUAAGGGUCGAAUCCCACGGAGAUUGUUGGUAUGAAGCAAGCUAUGGUCACCUUGCAAAUCUCAGUUAGGCAGAUAUAAAUGGAUAAUGGUGUUUUCGAAUUUAAUAUAAUAAAAUAGGGAUAGAGGUACUUAUGUAAAUCAUUGGUAGGAAUUUCAGAUAAGCGAAUAGAGAUGCUUUUCGUUCCUCUGAACCUCUGCUUUCCUGCUAUCUUCAUCCAAUCAGUCUUACUCCUUUCCAUGGCUGGCUGUAUGCAAGGGCAUCACCGUUGUCAGUGGCUACACCCCCUCCUCUCAGUGAAUAAUAUGCUCACGCACCCUGUCACAGCACGGCUAUUCAUCUGUCGGUUCUCCAUCAUGCUGGAAUAGGAUUCACCCUCCUUUUGNNNNNNNNNNNNNNNNNNNNNNNNNNNNNNNNNNNNNNNNNNNNNNNNNNNNNNNNNNNNNNNNNNNNNNNUUUUGAAAAAGAUUUGAUUUUUAAAAUCACAAUUAAUGACUUGAUUCAUAAGAAAUCACAAGAUAUGAUUCUAGAACUCAAAGUUUGAAUCUUUCUUAACAAGCAAGUAACAAACUUGAAAUUUUUGAAUCAAAACAUUAAUUGUUUAUUGUUAUUUUCGAAAAUUUGGUAUAAAAAUAAGAAAAAGAUUUUUGAAAAAUAUUUUUUGGAAUUUUCGAAAAUAACUAAGAAUUUUGAAAAAGAUUUGAUUUUUGAAAAAGAUUUUGAAAAAGAUAAGAUUUUCAAAUUGAAAAUUUGAUUUGACUCAUGAGAAACAACUUGAUUUUAAAAAUUUUUGAAAAAGUCAAUUCAAAUUUUCGAAUUUGAUGAGAGAAAAAGGGAAAGAUAUUUUUUUGAUUUUUGAAUUUUUUUUUUUGAAUUUUUAUGAAAACAUGAAAAAUAUGCAAUGCAUGAAAAUUUUAGAUCAAAACAAUGAAUGCAUGCAAGAAUGCUAUGAAUGUCAAGAUGAACACCAAGAACACUAUGAAUGUCAAGAUGAACAUCAUAGACAAAAUUUUGAAAAAUUUUUAAUGCAAAUAAAACAUGCAAGACACCUAACUUAGAAUUCUUUAAUGCCUAGACAUUAAGAAUUCAAGAAUGCAUAUGAAAAACACUAUACAACACAAAACAAAAAAUCAUCAAGAUCAAACAAGAAGACUUACCAAGAACAACUUGAAGAUCAUGAAGAACACUAUGAAUGCAUGAAAUUUUCGAAAAAUGCAAGAUGCAUAUGCAAGUGACACCAAACUUAUGAUAUGACUCAAGACUCAAACAAGAAACAGAAAAAUAUUUUUGAUUUUUAUGAUUUUCUAAUUUUUUUUGGAUUUUUUUCGAAAAUUAUAUGAAAAAGAAAAAUAAGGAUUCCAAAAUUUUUAAUAUGAAUUCCAGGAAUCUUGCAUUCUUAGUCUAAAGCUUCAGUCCAGGAAUUAGACAUGGCUCACUAGCCAGCCAAGCUUUCAAUGAAAGCUUCGGUCCAAAACACUAGACAUGGCCAAUGGCCAGCCAAGCUUCACCAUGUAAUUCAGACAUGACAUGCCUGACAUACCCUACAAUCGUAUAAGAGCUGAUGGUUGGAAGCCUCAGUCCAAAAGAAUUUAGACAUGGCUUUACAGCCAGCCAGGCUUCACAUGCUUCAUGAAACACUAGAAUUCAUUCUUUAAAAAUUUUGAAUCUAAUUUUUUUUUCGAAAACAUAAGAAAAAUUUUUGAAAUAUUUUUGAAAAAUUUUGAAAAUAAAAUAAAAAGAAAAGUACCUAAUCUGAGCAACAGGAUGAACCGUCAGUUGUCCAAACUCAAACAAUCCCCGGCAACGGCGCCAAAAACUUGGUGUUAUUGCCGGGAUUCAAACUUGGCACUGAUGUUACCGGACCAAAAGCUUGCCGAAAACUCAAACAAUCCCCGGCAACGGCGCCAAAAACUUGGUGCACGAAAUUGUGAUCUCCAGGCUCGAACAAAUCCUGGUAAUGGCUCCAAAGCUUGGUGCUCUGAUCUUAAUUCAUAAUUGUCACAACUUCGAUACAACUAACCAGCAAGUGCACUGGGUCGUCCAAGUAAUACCUUACGUGAGUAAGGGUCGAAUUUGGAGUUGAACGCCAGUUUCUGUGCCAGUUUGGGCGUUCAACUCUGGCUUUGGAUCCUUUUCUGGCGCUGGACGCCAGAUUUGGGCAGAAGGCUGGCGUUGAACGCUAGUUUACGUCGUCAAUUCUUGGCCAAAGUAUGGACUAUUAUAUAUUGCUGGAAAGCCCUGGAUGUCUACUUUCCAACGCAAUUGGAAGCGCGCCAUUUCGAGUUUUGUAGCUCCAGAAAAUCCGCUUUGAGUGCAGGGAGGUCAGAAUCCAACAGCAUCAGCAGUCCUUCUUCAACCUCUGAAUCUGAUUUCUGCUCAAGUCCCUCAAUUUCAGCCAGAAAAUACCUGAAAUCACAGAAAAACACACAAACUCAUAGUAAAGUCCAGAAAUGUGAAUUUAUCAUAAAAACUAAUGAAAACAUCCCUAAAAGUAGCUAGAUUCUACUAAAAACAUACUAAAAACAAUGUCAAAAAGCGUAUAAAUUAUCCGCUCAUCAAGAUUCUAGCAGCUUGCACCUCAAAGAUCCCUAGUUUCUCCAUUACAGAGAGUGGCAUUAAGUUUAUUCCUGACCCCAGGUCACACAGAGCCUUCUCAAAGGUCAUGGUGCCUAUGGUGCAGGGUAUUAAGAAUUUUCCUGGAUCCUGUUUCUUUUGAGGUAAUUUCUGCCUAUCCAAUGCAUUUAGUUCAUUGGUGAGCAAGGGAGGUUCAUCUUCCCAAGUCUCAUUACCAAAUAACUUGGCAUUCAGCUUCAUGAUUGCACCAAGGUAUUUAGCAACUUCCUCUUCAGUAAUGUCUUCAUCCUCUUCAGAGAAAGAAUACUCAUCAGAGCUCAUGAAAGGCAGAAGGAGGUUCAAUGGAAUCUCUAUGGUCUCUAGAUGAGUCUCAGAUUCUUUUGGUUCCUCAAAGGGAUACUCCUUAUUGGUCACUGGACGUCCCAGGAGGUCUUCCUCACUAGGAUUCACGUCCUCCUCUUCCCUUGUAGGUUCGGCCAUGAUGGUCAAUUCAAUGGCCUUACACUCUCUCUUUGGAUUCUCUUCUGUAUUGCUUGGGAGAGUACUUGGAGGGAUUUCAGUGACUCUUUUACUCAGCUGGCCCACUUGUGCCUCCAAAUUCUUAAUGGAGGACCUUGUUUCAUUCAUGAAACUCACAGUGGCCUUAGAUAGAUCAGAGACUAUAUUUGCUAAGCUAGAUGAAUUCUGCUCAGAAUUCUCUGUCUGUUGCUGAGUGGAUGAUGGAAAAGGCUUGCUAUUGCUAAACCUGUUUCUUUCACCAUUAUUAAAGCCUUGUUGAGGCUUUUGUUGAUCCUUCCAUGAGAAAUUUGGAUGAUUUCUCCAUGAGGGAUAAUAGGUGUUUCCAUAGGGUUCACCCAUGUAAUUCACCUCUGCUAUUGCAGGGUUUUCAGGAUCAUAAGCUUCUUCUUCAGAAGGUUGUGCUUUAGCUUCCCUUAGCUUCCUCUUCAGAGUCCUUUCAGGUUCAAGAUCAACCUCAAUAAGAAUGUUCUUAUCCUUGCUCCUGCUCAUAUGAAAAAGAAGAAAACAGAAAAAAAAAUAUAGAAUCCUCUAUGUCACAGUAUAGAGAUUCCUUUAUGUGAGUAGAAGAAUAUAUGAAUAGAAGAAGGAGAAUUCAAACACAAGGGUGAGGAGUAGGUUCGAAUUCUUGGGUGAAAAAGGAAUGUUAGUAGAUGAAUAAAUAAAUAGAAGAAUUUUCGAAAAUUAGAUAAAAUAAAAUAAAAGUAUUUUUGUUUUUAAAUUAAAAAUUAAAAUUAAAAAUUCAAAACUUAAUCAAGGAAAAUUAAAUCAAAUUAAUUAAAUUUAAAACAAUUAGUUAAUUUAAAAAGGAAUUUUGAAGAAGAGGGAAGGGAUUUUCAAAAAUUAGAGAGAGAGAGAGAGUUAGUUAGGUAGUUUUGAAAAGAUAUGAUUGAAAUAAUAAACUUUUAAAAUCGAACAAAAAGUCAAGUAGUUAAUUAAAAAAGAUUUGAAAAUCAAUUUUUGAAAAGAUAAGAAGUUAGAAAAGAAGUUGGAAAAGAUUUUGAAAUUGAUUUUGAAAAAGAUGUGAUUGACAUUUAUUUUGAAAAAGAUUUGAAAAAGAAAUUUAAAAAGAUUUGAUUUUUGAAAUCAAAGUUGAUUACUUGACUAACAAGAAACUUGAAGAUAUGAUUUUAAAAUUUAAAAAUUGAACCUUUCUUAAUAGGCAAGUAACAAACUUAAAAAUUUUGAAUCAAUCACAUUAAAUGUUAACAUUGAAUUCGAAAAAGAUAAGAAAAAGAUUUUGAAAAUCAAUUUGAAAUUUUCGAAAAUAUGAAAGAAAAAAUGAAAAAGAUUUGAGUUUUGAAAAAGAAUUGAAAAAGAUAAAAUUUUUAAAUUGAAAAUUUGAUUUGACUCAUAAGAAACAACUAAAUUUUAAAAAAUUUUGAAAAAGUCAACUCAAAUUUUCGAAAAUUUAUGAGUGAAAAAGGGAAAGAUAUUUUUUUAAUUUUUAAACUUUUAAUGAUGAGAGAGAAAAAUACCAAAAAGACUCAACGCAUGAAAAUUGUGGAUCAAAACAAAUGAUGCAUGCAAGAACACUAUGAAUGUCAAGAUGAACACCAAGAACACUUUGAAGAUCAAGAUGAACAUCAAGACUUAUUUUUGAAAAUUUUUUAGAAAAGAAAAACAUGCAAGACACCAAACUUAGAGAUUUUUCAUGUUUAGAUACUAUGAAUGCAAAAAUGCAUAUGAAAAACAACAAAAGACACAUAACAAGAAAAUAUGAAGAUCAAACAAGAAGACUUGUCAAGAACAACUUGAAGAUCAUGAAGAACACAUGCAUGAGUUUUCGAAAAAUGCACAAAUUUUAAAAAUAUGCAAUUGACACCAAACUUAAAAACUGACACAAGAUUCAAGCAAGAAACACAAAAAUUAUUUUUGAUUUUAUGAUUUUAUAAUAUUUUUUUUUUUGGAUUUUUCGAAAAUUAUUUUGGAAAAACGAAAAAAGAAUAAAUUUUUUUAUAUUAUUUUCGAAAAUAAGAAAUAAAAAGCUUAAAAAUAAAAUAAAAUUACCUAAUCUGAGCAACAAGAUGAACCGUCAGUUGUCCAAACUCGAACAAUCCCCAGCAACAGCGCCAAAAACUUGGUGCGCAGAAAUCGUGACGGUUCCAUUCCUUGGUAACGGCGCUAAAAACUCAAUACGCACGUUCAUAAUCUUAGUUCUUUGUCACAACUUCGCACAACUAACCAACAAGUGCACUAGGUCGUCCAAGUAAUAAACCUUACGUGAGUAAGGGUCAAUCCCACGGAGAUUGUCGGCUUGAAGCAAGCUAUGGUAUAGGAUCCAUUGAUCCUUUUGCGUCUGUCACUAUGCCCAGCACUCGCGAGUUUGAAGCUCGUCGCAGCCAUCCCUUCUCAGAUCCUACUCGGAAUACCACAGACAAGAUUUAGACUUUCCGGAUCUCAAGAAUGGUCGUCCAUGGAUUCUAACUUAUACCACAAAGAUUCUGAUUAAGGAAUCCCAGAGAUACUCAUUCAAUCUAAGGUAGAACGGAAGUGGUUGUCAGGCACGCGUUCAUCGGUUGGGAAUGAUGAUGACUGUCACGAUCAUCCAUUCAUAUUGAAAUGCGAAUGAAUAUCUUAGAAUCAGAAUAAGCUUGAAUUGAAUAGAAAAACGAUAGUACUUUGUAUUAAUUCAUGAGGAUCAGCAGAGCUUCACACCUUAAUCUAUGGUGUGUAGAAACUCUACCGUUGAAAAUACAUAAGUGAUGAAGGUUCAGGCAUGGCCGAAUGGCCAGCCCCCAAACGUGAUCUAAAGAUGAAACUAAAGAUGUAAAUACAAUAGUAAAAAGUCCUAUUUAUGCUAAACUAGUUACUAGGGUUUAUAGAAAUGAGUAAAUGAUGUAGAAAUCCACUUCCGGGGCCCACUUGGUGUGUGCUUGGGCUGAGCAUUGAGCUUUACACAUAUAGAGGCUUCUCUUGGAGUUGAACGCCAGUUUGUAACCUGUUUCUGGUGUUUAACUCCACUUUGCAACCUGUUUCUGGCGUUUAACUCCAGAAUGCAGCAUAGAACUGGCGUUGAACGCCAGUUUGCAUCAUCUAAACUCGGGAAACGUAUGGACUAUUAUAUAUUUUUGGAAAGCCCUGGAUGUAUACUUUCCAACGCAAUUGAGAGCGCACCAUUUGGAGUUCUGUAGCUCCAGAAAAUCCACUUUGAGUGCAGGGAGGUCAGAAUCCAACAGCAUCUGCAGUCCUUCUUCAACCUCUGAAUUUGAUUUUUGCUCAAGUCCCUCAAUUUCAGCCAGAAAAUACUUGAAAUCACAUAAAAACACACAAACUCAUAGUAAAGUCCAGAAAUGUGAUUUUUAUUUAAAAACUAAUAAAAAUAUACUAAAAACUAACUAAAUUAUACUGAAAACUAUGUAAAAACAAUCCCAAAAAGCAUAUAAAUUAUCCACUCAUCAAACACCCGUUGUGGGUCAAAUGAACUUGGAUAUUAGCUAUUACAGUUUUUUUGUUAGUAAUGCAAUGCUAUGUUAUGUAUUACUUAACCAACUUUAAUUUCGUAAACACCUUGCAAAACACGUACAGGGCAAUGCAAUCAUUCAUAUAAAUGAACUGUGAAUUUUUUUUUUUUGGUGCAACAAUACAACACACUUUUUCAUUCCUUUAUCAAUUCUUACAACUUAGAACAGCAAAACUCAACACAAUGACAAUAACACAAAUACACCAUCUUAUUGAGUUUUUUUUCAUCUCUAGAGCUACUAUCCUCUUCUCCAAGCAUGUGAUCUUCAUUUCCAUGUCUUGCUUCCCGUGAUAAUCUUCAACAUCCACAAAUUCCUUCUUUCUCAUAUACUUUGUUUCUAUCAAUCCAAGUCCAACAUCGUGCUCAUCAAGCCACAAAAAAAAAUUUGCAAUACGGUUGUCUUGCCUGCAGCAAAUCAAUCCACAUAAUUCAAAAACAAAAAACUGGUAACCCUAACACAUCUUCAAGCACACCUUCCACACAGUCGGUUACCAUACCUUGUAAAAGGGACAGCCCAGAAACAAUCUGUCCAGAUUGCUUCGCGUCUUCGACAUGAAAAGGAUUGCGUUUUCUCCACAAAAGCACGUUGGUGAGAUGCCAUCUUUGCCAUCCUUCCCGUUAGGAUGCGAGCUCGAGCCGAACUAACCUCCACUUCUUUUCCAACUUGAUAAUACUCCUUCAGAUGCCAUGGAAGGAAGAAUUUCCUUUAUUCCUCUACUCCCCACAACACCCACUUCGCCGUUUCUGUGCAGACGAGGGAUUAGGGCAAAGAAAUUUGAAAAAUUGGGGGAGGUAACGAAACGGCGUCGUUUUCGUCUCCAGGGACUUAUAUGUCCUGUUUUGAAAAGCUCCUUGCCACGUGGGCUCCAUAAUGGCCAGGUCAGCGCCACCUCUGCCAGGUCAGAAUUUUCCGUCCAGUCCAAAUGCCUGAAUUCAACGGAAGGGUCGAAAUGUCCACGUUUUUCGGGGGUGAGAGACUUGAAUGUAUUUUUCCUUCCUUGAGGACAAUAAUGUCCACAAAAAAAGGUCAGGAACCUAUUUGUUCUUUAAUCUUUAAAAUAAUAUCCACCAAUUAAAAGAUAACAAGCUUUCUGCAUCUGACCCAAAAAAAUCAAAUAAUAACCCUUAAUGGACCUUAAUAUACCUUCAGCAAAAAUUAUCAUUGAGUUUUGAUCUGUUAAUAAAAAAUUUGUACUGACUUCAGACUGGUAAAAUUGGGCUUGCCAUUGGCCCACUACAGACCACAAGGGUCUCCAAUGCAUAGCCUCAUUUGUCACCUCUCUCAGAAUUGUAUCUCUUCUCCCCUUUUUCCGGAAAUAGAUAUUUUCAAUUUUUUUUAAUACUUGAGGGAAUAAAGUGUGAUCUCUCACCAUUAAUUUUAUAAGUGGGACUAAAAAUAAAUAUGAGAGAGAGCAAUAAAGGGUUAGAUUAAACAAUUCACGCCAUCCACUUUUUCUCCACUGGAGAGGAUCUGCUCCCCCUUUUCCUCGUGCUCUGCUUCCUUCAUCCACCUUGUUCUAAAUCCAUACUCGUGGUUCCAUGAAAAAAUCGCCACCGCAACUCCAUCCCCCACACAGCUGGCCGUCGCAAGCUCACAUGGGGAACCGGUACUACCUUUCCACUCCCGUCUCUUCGCUGUUCGUUGUUCGCUAUUCACAUGGAGGAAACGGCACUGCUUUCCAGCUCCCUUUGCCACUGCCUGCCGUUGCAGUUGUGUCCUCUGUUUCAGUUCCAAGGGAAGACAGCUGUUAUGAGUGGUGGUGGCUUGGCCACUAACAAAGAGAUGCAACAGACCCAAACUCCACCGGUCACCGCUGUUGUUCUGCCCUCUGUCUUCAUUGACGCUGUUUUCCCCUCCACCGUCGUGAGUUUUCGCUCGUCCAUCGCGGAAGCACCGACCUCGGCGCUGCUCCUAACUUUGUUGUCUUCGCAGAAUCGCCACAGAUCGCGGCCGUACUCAUCAUCUGUGGCGGUCGUCCGCGGGUUCGGCGCCGCCCUUGGAAGAAAUCGCCAAUUGUCCUCGGCCAUAACCGUUUCCUCCAAAUGCACCAAAUGUAGAUCUAGGUGUUCUUCUCCUGUGUGUUCUGGAAUGAGAGGUAAUUUUGAUUGCAGUUCUGGAAUUGAAUUCUAGAAUCUUGCUUGAACUGAAAUUGCUGUUGAUUCUACAGGUUGAAAUUCAAAAUUGAAAGCUAAUUCUUCUUCUUCGGUCAAAUCUGUUGCUUCUUCUUCAUUUUCUUCAAAAAUAAACAAGGAAGAAUGAAUUAUUGCUCGAUUUGCCAGCUCUGUUGAUUUUAUUUUUUGUUGAGGUUGAAUUGUAAAAUUGAAAUCUGUUGCUUCCUGUUCUGUGUAUGCAGAAGUCAUUGCUAAGUCCAAAAGUUUUGGUGCUGCAUUCUUGACUUGUGCAUCUGAUAUUUGUUGAAUUUUCUAUCUCUGAAAUUUCUGCUUCUAGAUUUUGGUUGAAUUGUCUACUUCUAGUUUAUCUAGAAUUGUUAGAUCCAGUGUGUCUAUUGAUGAUUUUGUUGCUGCAUUCUCUAAUUCUUUAUUCUCAUAAAUCGAGUAUGAAUUUUGGAAUUGCAGAACUGGAAUUGAUGAAUUUGCUAUUUCUGAAUUUGUUGAAAUAUUGAUGAUUGGGUGAGAAUCUGAUGCUGAUUUGGCUUGAAUCUAUUGAUUAGCGUUCAAGGUCGCACAAAUUUUGGUGCAAGUUGUUUGAAUUUCUUCAAGUAUCUUGGUACGUUCUUGAUAAUAUGAAUUUAAGCUUUGUAAAUUAGUUUGAAUUUAUCUCAAAUGGAAUCCGCAGAAUUACUAUGAGAGUUUAGUAUGGUGAGAAGAGAGAAUUAGAGAUAAUAAAAAAGAAUAGAAGAAAAAUCUUUAGAAGUAGGACAAAAGAAAAAAAAUAGAAUUUUUAAUUAUAUCAUACAUAUUUCACAUUAUUACAUCAUACUCUUAUUUAUAGUAUAAUUUUCAUUCUCUAGUUGGAUUAGCUCAAUACUAAUCCUAUCAAGAGCACACAACAAAAAUAGGUUGGGAAGCAACCAGUAAGUAAAAAGAGAGAGAAGAGGUUAAUUGAUAAAAAACAAAAACAAACAGAAAAAACAUUUUUUUUUAAAUUAAAAUUAUUUUUAAGGUUAAUUGAUUUUUUUUGAAAUAAUUUGAUGAUUUAAAUUUUAUUUUAGUCGUUACUGAGCUAUUAUGUAUGCUUGUUUCGUUAAUAAUAAACAUCAUCACUGUAUGAAUGUGGUGAUAGCUAGGUAAGGUUAUAUGAGCACCUUCGGUGUGCUCUUAUGGCUUUACCUGUGUUUUGCUACUGCAAAGUUUUAACCACCAUGAAAUAAAAGAUCUUCAAGUAUAUUAUGUUUUAAUUUCUUUGAAAUUAAUGAAAAUCAAACACUUC
rnacentral:lncRNA from 1 species